rnacentral:rRNA from 1 species
AUUGAACGCUGGCGGAAUGCUUUACACAUGCAAGUCGAGCGGCAGCACGGGGGCAACCCUGGUGGCGAGCGGCGAACGGGUGAGUAACACAUCGGAACAUGCCCAGUCGUGGGGGAUAACACUUCGAAAGAAGUGCUAAUACCGCAUACGUCCUGAGGGUGAAAGCGGGGGAUCGCAAGACCUCGCGCGAUUGGAGUGUCCGAUGUCAGAUUAGCUAGUUGGUGGGGUAAAGGCCUACCAAGGCAACGAUCUGUAGCUGGUCUGAGAGGAUGAUCAGCCACACUGGGACUGAGACACGGCCCAGACUCCUACGGGAGGCAGCAGUGGGGAAUUUUGGACAAUGGGGGCAACCCUGAUCCAGCCAUUCCGCGUGAGUGAAGAAGGCCUUCGGGUUGUAAAGCUCUUUCGGCAGGAACGAAACGGUGAGCUCUAACAUAGCUUGCUAAUGACGGUACCUGAAAAAGAAGCACCGGCUAACUACGUG